AGAAAAGAGCAGCUUCGUCUCUCCCAGUGUUUCCUCUACACAUGAAGGUGGAAAGAGUCUGUAAAUCAACCUGAAGUGAGUUCAGCAGUGAACUAUGGCUCAGUUCAUUGAAAACUCCAGCCUUGAGGGCUGGGAGGGGAUUGGCUCCGGAGGUUUCGGACAAAUCUACAAAGCCAGGCAUCGUCAGUGGGCCUGUGACGUGGCCAUUAAACUGCUUCGUUAUGACGAUGGGACCAAUACGUCUUUGCUGCGUGAGAUCAAGAUGAUGCAAGAAGCAAGAAGCAAGCAGCCCGCAUGUUAUUCGUGUCCGAGGGGUCUUCAAGGGUCAACCCCCCAACUCUGGUUGGGCAACACAGCUUGGUGUGGUCAUGGAGCUCAUGGAGAGAGGAUCACUGGCCUCCCUACAGGU